CAAAGUUUCAGUGCAUUCUGUUGAUGUAGACGGCGUGAAAACGAAAACAAGUAUGCCGUCUCACUGUGCUGCGUACAGUUACACACUACGUCGUACGACUGAGACAAGGAAACUUGGAAUGACUUUUCAUAGGUUUCCCAGAGACUAUGGGUUGAGGAGGAAUUGGAAGUUUGUCGGCUUAGACCUGGUGUCAUUCCAUCAGUGUUAAACUUCCCGGCUCAUCUUGGAAGAGUACGUGCCAGAAAGACCACGACCAAGCAGCCUUGAGAUCUUAGGCAGCGUCUCCCUCAGAUCCACCAACCACUGGAACACAUCUCCAAAGUUCUGCUGGUCCAGCUCAGCUUCCCCUCAGAAGAAGUGGCGCCACCUGCCAGAUGAAGGAAACUUUUUAGAGGCAGCUGGCAUCGUGAUUGGACUGUACUUUGGUCUGUUCCAAUCCAGCUUCAGCUCCAGAGACGGCAGGCGGGACGAGUCAACGGAGGCCGGGUGGACGAAGACCAAAGAACUACAGACUCUUCACAACCUGCUCAAACUCUUGGUACAGGACCUCACCACACGGGUCAAGAAGGUUUCCAUCUCAUUUCUACUCUGAAGAUCACCUUCUCCUGCUCAAACUGCUGACAAAUGUUUCUGCUGCUCUAAAGUCUGGUCUCCAGAACUUCCUAAAAACUCUCAAAGUCUCUUCUGCUGCAGGUUGCUUUGUAGAACUGUUCCAGAAAACCUCACUAAACCACAUGGAGGGGCCUCAAGAUAGUCGUCCAAAUGAAACCGUACAAAAACCAAACUAGCACAACCCAAACGCUAAAGUCUCCUGCAGCC
ensembl:lncRNA